rnacentral:rRNA from 1 species
GGAGGAAAGUAGGGGAUCGAAAGACCUUAUGCUUUUGGAGCGGCCGAUGUCUGAUUAGCUAGUUGGUAAGGUAAUGGCUUACCAAGGCAACGAUCAGUAGUUGGUCUGAGAGGACGACCAGCCACACUGGGACUGAGACACGGCCCAGACUCCUACGGGAGGCAGCAGUGGGGAAUUUUGGACAAUGGGCGCAAGCCUGAUCCAGCAAUGCCGCGUGAGUGAAGAAGGCCUUCGGGUUGUAAAGCCCUUUCAGUUGAGAAGAAAAGAUUGUGACUAAUAAUUGCAAUUCAUGACGGUAUCAACAGAAGAAGCACCGGCUAACUACGUGCCAGCAGCCGCGGUAAUACGUAGGGUGCGAGCGUUAAUCGGAAUUACUGGGCGUAAAGGGUGCGCAGGCGGUUCUGUAAGUCAGAUGUGAAAUCCCCGGGCUUAACCUGGGAACUGCGUUUGAAACUACAAAGCUAGA